rnacentral:rRNA from 1 species
UACGUAGGGGGCUAGCGUUGUCCGGAAUCAUUGGGCGUAAAGAGCGUGUAGGCGGUCCGGUAAGUCCGCUGUGAAAGUCGGGGGCUCAACCCUCGAAUGCCGGUGGAUACUGUCGGGCUAGAGUACGGAAGAGGCGAGUGGAAUUCCCGGUGUAGCGGUGAAAUGCGCAGAUAUCGGGAGGAACACCAAUUGCGAAGGCAGCUCGCUGGGACGUCACUGACGCUGAGACGCGAAAGCGUGGGGAGCAAACAGG